GAUUACUGUGACCCGACAGUCUUGUUCUGGUCAGGUUGGGGUAUUCCUGUCACUGUUCUAGUUGGGAGUCUUGUCGAACAAAAGGUGAACGUCAUUGUUAACAGCAUUGCCCAUGAUGUGGCCAUGACGUCAGGAACAUCUGCUGCAAUAGGUUCGGCAGCGGGACCUGGGCUAUCUCAAGAACUGGCCCAAAAUUAUCCCCAAGGAAUUAAUCAUGGCGACAUCGCUGUAUCCAAGGGACAUAAUCUGAGCUGCAACGAAGUUUAUCAUGGUACUCUGUUACCAUGGUAUUCCAAACGUUCCGGAAGUACAAAACUUCCUGAUGAGUUGCUAGAGGACUUCA